rnacentral:misc_RNA from 1 species
GAUGAAGAACGCAGCGAAAUGCGAUAAGUAAUGCGAAUUGCAGAAUUCCAGUGAGUCAUCGAAUCUUUGAACGCACAUUGCGCCCGCCAGCAUUCUGGCGGGCAUGCCUGUUCGAGCGUCAUUUCAACCCUCGAGCCCCCCCGGGGGCCUCGGUGUUGGGGGACGGCACACCAGCCGCCCCCGAAAUGCAGUGGCGACCCCGCCGCAGCCUCCCCUGCGUAGUAGCACACACCUCGCACCGGAGCGCGGAGGCGGUCACGCCGUAAAACGCCCAACUUUCUUAGAGUUGACCUCGGAUCAGGUAGGAAUACACGCUGAACUUAAGCAUAUCAAUAAGCGGAGGA